UACGGAGGGUGCGAGCGUUGUCCGGAAUCACUGGGCGUAAAGGGCGCGUAGGCGGCCCGCUAAGUCGAACGUGAAAUCCCCGAGCUCAACUCGGGAACUGCGUCCGAUACUGGCGGGCUUGAAUCCGGGAGAGGGAUGCGGAAUUCCAGGUGUAGCGGUGAAAUGCGUAGAUAUCUGGAGGAACACCGGUGGCGAAGGCGGGUCUCUGGGCCGAUACUGACGCUGAGGAGCGAAAGCGUGGGGAGCGAACAGG
rnacentral:rRNA from 1 species